CACCGCCCGUCGCUACUACCGAUUGAAUGGUUUAGUGAGGUCCUCCGAUUGGACCCGGUCCGGGCGGCGACGUCCGAGCCGGCGUCCGAGAAGACGAUCUAACUUGAUCAUUUAGAGGAAGUAAAAGUCGUAACAAGGUUUCCGUAGGUGAACCUGCGGAAGG
rnacentral:ncRNA from 1 species